rnacentral:rRNA from 1 species
GACGAACCGUGCGAACGUUAUUCGGAAUCACUGGGCUUAAAGCGCGUGUAGGCGGGACGGCACGUCGGUCGCUGAAAGCCCCCGGCUCAACCGGGGAACGGGCGCCGAUACGACCGGCCUGGAGGGACGUAGGGGGACCUGGAACUUCCGGUGGGGCGGUGAAAUGCGUUGAGAUCGGAAGGAACGCCCGUGGCGAAAGCGAGGUCCUGGACGUUUUCUGACGCUGAGACGCGAAAGCCAGGGGAGCGAACGGG